UGUGUGUGUGUGUGUGUGUGCGUAUAUAUAUAUGUAUAUGUAUAUACGCACACCACACACACACACAUA